AUUGAACGCUGGCGGCAGGCCUAACACAUGCAAGUCGAGCGGAUGAAGGGAGCUUGCUCCUGGAUUCAGCGGCGGACGGGUGAGUAAUGCCUAGGAAUCUGCCUGGUAGUGGGGGAUAACGUCCGCAAACGGGCGCUAAUACCGCAUACGUCCUGAGGGAGAAAGUGGGGGAUCUUCGGACCUCACGCUAUCAGAUGAGCCUAGGUCGGAUUAGCUAGUUGGUGGGGUAAAGGCCUACCAAGGCGACGAUCCGUAACUGGUCUGAGAGGAUGACCAGUCACACUGGAACUGAGACACGGUCCAGACUCCUACGGGAGGCAGCAGUGGGGAAUAUUGGACAAUGGGCGAAAGCCUGAUCCAGCCAUGCCGCGUGUGUGAAGAAGGUCUUCGGAUUGUAAAGCACUUUAAGUUGGGAGGAAGGGCAGUAAGUUAAUACCUUGCUGUUUUGACGUUACCAACAGAAUAAGCACCGGCUAACUUCGUG
rnacentral:rRNA from 1 species